rnacentral:rRNA from 1 species
GAUGAACGCUGGCGGCGUGCUUAACACAUGCAAGUCGAGCAGGGGAAGGUAGCUUGCUACUGGACCUAGCGGCGGACGGGUGAGUAAUGCUUAGGAAUCUGCCUAUUAGUGGGGGACAACAUCUCGAAAGGGAUGCUAAUACCGCAUACGUCCUACGGGAGAAAGCAGGGGAUCUUCGGACCUUGCGCUAAUAGAUGAGCCUAAGUCGGAUUAGCUAGUUGGUGGGGUAAAGGCCUACCAAGGCGACGAUCUGUAGCGGGUCUGAGAGGAUGAUCCGCCACACUGGGACUGAGACACGGCCCAGACUCCUACGGGAGGCAGCAGUGGGGAAUAUUGGACAAUGGGGGGAACCCUGAUCCAGCCAUGCCGCGUGUGUGAAGAAGGCCUUAUGGUUGUAAAGCACUUUAAGCGAGGAGGAGGCUACUUUAGUUAAUACCUAGAGAUAGUGGACGUUACUCGCAGAAUAAGCACCGGCUAACUCUGUGCCAGCCGCCGCGGUAA